UAUUAAUUUCUUCGACCGAUAAAAAAGAAGCUGAUAUUAUUAUCUUGAUUGGUGAAAAUUCUGCAAAAACACACCGUAAAAUAUAUAAGGCGACUAACAAAGUCAUCGAUAAAAUUAUCUGGGACUUGAAUUUGAAGCCAUUCGUGUUAAAACUAAAAGAGAAAUUAAAAAAAGAAUUUGACAGAUCCGCGUGCGGAAUACGAAAUGGAACGCUUAUCAUUAGUUUUUCCGGUUUCAAUAAAAAUAUAAACUCAUUUCUUACGAAAAAUGUAUAUCUAAUAAGGCAAAUAAUAACACCGUUCUUGGACACGAGUAAUUAUGAAACGUUUAGCGAUGAUGAUAGUGAUAAUAAUAAUAA